rnacentral:lncRNA from 1 species
AGCUACUCUGGAGGCUGAGGAAGGAGGAUCGCUGGAGCCCAGGAGUUCAAGGCUGCAAUGAGCUACGCUGGUGCCACUGUACUGCAGCCUGGGCAACAGAGUAAAAAAAAAAAAAGAAAAAAGGGAAAAAAAAGAAUAAGUGCUUAUUUUGUUCAUGCCCCUGAGAAUUGGCUGGAGGUUGGCUGAUCUAGGCUGGGCACAGAUGGGGUGGCUUGGCUGGGGCAGGUCUUCUCCAUGUGCCUUUCGUUCUCCUAGACUGGCAGGCCAGCCAGAGCAUGUCCUCCGCAUGUGUAGAAGUUCACCAGCGCGGGCAGAAUCAAGCCAGGCUGCUUAAGGCCUGGGCCUGGACUGGGCAUGCUGUGGCUUCUGCAUUAUUCUAUUGGCCAAAGUAAGUUACACGACUCAGCUGAAAAAUCAAAGGGCAGGUAAAUAUGCUCCUCCUUAAUGGGAAAAAUCCCAAAGUUACGUCACUAGAUGAUCUGUAAGCUGCCUUACCAUGGCUUGGUGCUAAGACCCUUACGUGUGGUUGAGGUCAGGCAGAGAGCUGCCCACAGCUUGAUGGUGAGUCUCAUCUAG